CAGCAGCCGCGGUAAUACAGAGGGUGCGAGCGUUAAUCGGAUUUACUGGGCGUAAAGCGUGCGUAGGCGGCUUUUUAAGUCGGAUGUGAAAUCCCUGAGCUUAACUUAGGAAUUGCAUUCGAUACUGGGAAGCUAGAGUAUGGGAGAGGAUGGUAGAAUUCCAGGUGUAGCGGUGAAAUGCGUAGAGAUCUGGAGGAAUACCGAUGGCGAAGGCAGCCAUCUGGCCUAAUACUGACGCUGAGGUACGAAAGCAUGGGGAGCAAACAGGAUUAGAGACCCGCGUAGUCCCUGUCUCUUAUAC
rnacentral:rRNA from 1 species